rnacentral:rRNA from 1 species
UACAGAAGGUGCGAGCGUUGUCCGGAAUCACUGGGCGUAAAGGGCGCGUAGGCGGCUUGAUAAGCGUGCGGUGAAAGCCCGGGGCUCAACCCCGGGUCGGCCGUGCGAACUGUCGAGCUGGAGCACUGUAGAGGCAGGUGGAAUUCCGGGUGUAGCGGUGGAAUGCGUAGAGAUCCGGAAGAACACCGGUGGCGAAGGCGGCCUGCUGGGCAGUGGCUGACGCUGAGGAGCGAAAGCGUGGGGAGCGAACAGG